AGCAGCCGCGGUAAUUCCAGCUCCAAUAGCGUAUAUUAAAGUUGUUGCAGUUAAAAGCUCGUAGUUGAAUUUCGGGGUUAGUAGGUUGGUCAUGCCUCUGGUAUGUACUGGUCUCACUGAUUCCUCCUUCCUGAUGAACCUUAAUGCCAUUAAUUUGGUGUUUUGGGAAAUUUGGACUGUUACUUUGAAAAAAUUAGAGUGUUUAAAGCAAGCUAACGCUUGAAUACAUUAGCAUGGAAUAAUGAAAUAGGACGUUCGAUCCUAUUUUGUUGGUUUCUAGGAUUGACGUAAUGAUUAAUAGGGAUAGUUGGGGGCAUUAGUAUUCAAUUGUCAGAGGUGAAAUUCUUGGAUUUAUUGAAGACUAACUACUGCGAAAGCAUUUGCCAAGGAUGUUUUCAUUAAUCAAGAACGAAAGUUAGGGAUCGAAGACGAUCAGAUACCGUCGUAGUCUUAACCAUAAACUAUGCCGACUAGGGAUCGGAUGAUGUUUAAUUUUUUUAAUGUACUCAUUCGGCGCCUU
rnacentral:misc_RNA from 1 species